CACCAAGUUUUAAUCAAUGGAGAUAAUCUCAGGGUCUAAUCAGGAGAGAUUUCCUGAUUCCCUAGUGAGGUCAAACUAUUCCCACACCAGAGCACGCCCCUAGUAUGAGGCAGCUCCUCCUCUACUCCGUGUUGUACCAGAACAGUAAAUGGGACUCUACCAUAUAUAAGGCUGCAUAUUUCCAAGAGCAUUCUCCACUGGCACAGCCUGUAGCAUGAAGGAAGUAUUUCUUUACUGCAGAUGAAAUAUAUUAGGAUAUAAGGACUGCUGGUGUUGAUUUGAUGAGUCCCCAGCUUGGGCCGCUCGGUGUUGAUGCACAGCCAUUUUAUUUACCAGUCUAUUAGCACAUGAGAGUACUGAUUUUGGUGAUGAACAUCCAGAGCCCAACAAUAAUAUAAAAUAGCAUUCUGUUAGCAGCACUGUCAUAUUUAGUUCGCAAUCAGUCUGCUUUUUCUGGUAGAGCUUUCAAAGAGCCAAACAUGGAGCAAUUUGUUGCAGAAGUUACACUGCAGGCCCACAUGUGGAAAGUCUUUAUUCUUUUUCCUUUGAUUACUAACCAAUUUCAGCCUCAGCAAACAUGACUCAAUAUGUAAAAAAAGUGCUUCUAAUAGGAAUGCUUAUAACAUACAACAGAUUAUACAACCAAAUUUACCUCCAAAGGUUUUGAAGUUGCCUAGCUACGGGAUUGGAAAGGUUGAGGAACUCCCUGCUGAAGGCAGGAAAUGAGGCAGAGGACUUGAGGACUGGAGCUUCAAGCUCCACCUGGUGACAAAACCUCAUCGUUGCCUUCACAGAUAACUGCGGAGAAAGCAUAGGGUACCAUGAAACGUUCUAAAGAUCGGGUGGAGUAUUGGCAGGAAAUGACAGUCAGAGCCAAAAGAAGCACAAGGAUUUUUGUUUGUCUGUCCAUGGGUUUGGCCGGUUGUUUUAGUUUUUAAAAACAUAAAAAUUACUUAAACAACUCAAGACACUAACUGGCCAUAGAAUGCUCAAUGAAAGUAAUGCUCAGCCACACCACCCCAUGCUGAAAAAUAUGUCUCCACAGAGGACAACAAUGUGACCAUAGUGACAAUAACUCAUGAAAUUACUCCACUCUUUAGGAAGGAGAUUUUUGCAUUAAUGAAGGAGAUAGAAUUCUAGUAAUUAUUAAUAAUAUUUUUAUUCAUAGCAAGGGUAUUUUGCACUUUACAUCAUCAGAUUCCUGGUGGGAUAGCAAUGAGAUUUUUUCCACCAAGUACAGCAAGAAACCCAAUAUUGUACAGCAAAAAAAGUUUGGUGAAAUGCCUAUUAUAUUUAUAAUAAUUUAUUUUAUAAAUAGGUCAAUAAGAGUUUUCCCUCAUAGCAAAGAAAAUAAGAUUUUGAAGGCUUUUGGACUGACCAAUUGGAUGUAAGACUGUGCAGAGCAAGCACAUUUUUCAGAGAAAUUACUGCUAGCUUUAGAAAAGAAAGCCGUAUUUUGGUGUAUUCUUCAUAUGUGGAGGAUGGCAUUCCAGGUUGUCUGGGUGAUAAGAAAAUAAAAAUUACACUAGAUCACAUUGAUAAUUAUAAAUGUAAUAUCUAUUCUGUCAAUAUCAAUGCUCCAGUGUUUCACAUAUUAGUUUUUAUUAAAAAAAUUUAAAAAUACAUAUUUUUUCUCCCAAGUAUAUGAUUUAAUAAUCAUCUAAUAUCUUGAUCUUUAUCUUCUGUUGGGUAUCUGAAUAUAUGUGGGUUUCAAGAACAGGCAAAAAUUUUCUUGAAAUCUUGUCAUCUUAGGUCCAACAAUAAGAAUAGUGAUACUUUGAUAUCUAAAAGAAGUUAACAAAUCUUAUUUGAUUCAUAAAGUGCCUUGAUACAGUGACAUUUCUCUGAAAUAUCUUAUUUAUUCUGAAGUUCCACUUUCAGUCUUGACUGCAAUCAGAAAAUCUGGUGUAAAUGGAAACACUUAAGUUAAUAAGGCUUAUCCACAGAAAGACCAGUUCAGAUUUAGAAGGGGAAGGCAUUAAUUUUGUUUUAUUCAGAUUGUCCUGACCAGAGUUUGGAAAUACUAGGUAACAAUAAAAUGACAUAUGGAGCUCGAGACACACCUGUAUGGAUAAAAACAAUAUUAAACUAUGUUUCAAAAGCACGCAGUUUCAAAGAAAUACUGACAAAAUUUUCUAUUUAUGUGAUAUGUUGAAGCCAUUUGUCGCACGGAAUGUUAUCACAUUCCUGCGUUUCAAUUAAAGAAAAGACUCAAAAAGUAACAUAUUUACAUGACAGAAAAAGAAUCACUUACUGGAAUAGUAUUUGCUGUUAAAUUCUUCCAAGGUUUCUUUGAAUUUGUGGUAUUUUAACUCUAUUUAGGGUGGUGCCUGGUAGUGGAAUCUGGCAUUGAGCUACUGUACUUAUGCUGUUCAUUAUGGAACGUACUGUGUUAAGGAUUGCAAUGUAAAGCAUGGGAAAUUGGGAACGGAUCUCUUACCAUGCUGGAAAAAAUAUGCAAUACAGGUUUCAGCAACAGACUUCUACUGAUGUGCUAGCCUAAACUGUUUACUAGACUGAUUUUGUAUAUAGAGGAGGUUAUAUUAUAUUAGGAGAGUCUUUUAGCAAUUUGCCUCCUCUUUAAUGCAUACCUGUAUCUAAAUGAAUGAAGCAAUUGCAAUAAUUUGUCUUGGUGCAGAUAUAAUUUAUAACAAAACAUCACUUUUUACAUUCAUAUUGCCAGGUAGAGCAAAAUAAGUUAUGAUGAUGGCAAAAAACACAUUAAUGUUGUACAACUAUAAAUACACUGGGGGUUUUUCAUAAAUAAAAGUCUUGCCAAGAAUUCACAAAUGAAUCAACAUUGCUGGAAUAUACUGAAAAAUUGUAGUUAUACAAAUACUACUCAGAUCUAGCUUUAGAGUAAAUAGUCAGAGUAUGAACUUAAGAAAAAAUAGGUUAAAUUAAGCAGAAUGGCUAUUCAUUCAGACACAACAGGAAGAGAAACGGGCUAAUACAGGAGGAUCUGCCAAAUAUCCCCAGUGCGUCACACAGCCGGGCAGCAGAGGGCUGUGCUGAAUUUCAAUGUAUUCUCCCUAGACCCACACUGAUAUCCAUGCCAGUCCCCGUAGAGCUGGAUUUCCCCUCAUGAAGGCCCACUGCUGCCUCAGAACCCCCAGGGACUCACACUGCGCCAUAUCCUUUAUAUUCAGGAAGAUUUAUUCUUUUUAGCCUUUGAAAAACGCAACCACAGAGCCCAGCCUCUACAGCUCAGUGCUGGGAACUGCAGAGCCCUGACUUUUAUGUAUGUUUUUCCUUUUACUGCUUUGCUUGCUGCUUUCCUGGGGCAGGAGCCACAUAACCCAGGCCUUGCAUGCAGCCAGUCUCAAAGGGAAGAGUGUGCCUGAGCGUUCCCGGACCUGCGUCAGAAAUGGCAUCUCACAGUGCUGGUGUGGACUCACACCGCUGAUGCACUGGCACUAUGAGGGAACCUCUGCUGUUAGCCCAAGGGAAAGCAGGAGGAGUCUAAAGUGAUCAUAUUUGAGCCUUGGGAAUUCAGAGUGGUCCCAGCUAACUGGAAGCUGGCAAACAUCCUGAUUUUCAAGAAGGUCAAGAAUGAGAAGCCCAGAAACUACAGACCUGUCAGUCUCACUUCAGUGCCCGAAGAGGUUAUGAAGAAGGUUAUUCUGGGAGGUAUUGAAAAACACCUGAAAGUGUUCAUUGGUCACAGCCAGCAUGGUUUCAUGAGAAGAAAGACCUGCUUAUCAAAGCUAAUUUCCUUUUAUGACAAGGUAACCCACCUCGCUGAUCAAGGGAAGGCAGCUGAUGUAGUCUUUUUUGAUUUAAGUAAAGCUUUUGAUACUGUCUCUUGGAGUAUUCUUUUGGAUAAAAUGUCCAGCGCACAGCUGGAUAAACACAUCAUGUCAUGGGUGAGCAACUGGCUCACAUGCCAAGUGCAAAGGGUUAUAGUGAAGGGCGUGACAUCAGACUGGUGACCUGUCACUAGUAGGGUUGUACCCUAGGCCUUUUGCUCUUCAACAUCUUCAUUAAUGGCCUGGAUGCAGGACUAGAAGUGAUACUAAGCAAAUUCACAGAUAAUACAAAACUGGGAGGAUCUGUUGACUCCCUCAAAGACAGGGAGGCCCUACAGAGAGACCUAAACAAAUUAGGUGACUCAGCAACCACCAAUGGUAUGAAAUACAAGGGAAAGUGCUGGAUUCUGCACCUGGAAUGAGCAGCCCUGGAUGCAUGGACAAACUGGGGAAUGAGAGGCUGGGAAACCGUGCCACAGAAAGGAACCUGGGGGUCCUGGUUGAUGGAAAGUUGAAUUUGAGUCAGCACUGGCCUGGCAGCCAGGAGGGCCACCUGUGUCCUGGGGUGCAUCAGGCACAGCAUCACAGCCAGGCAAGGGAGGGAACUGUCCCCUCUGCUCUGCACUGAGGGCAGCCUCACCUCCAGUGCCGGGGGCAGUUUUGGGUGCCACAGUAUAAGAAAGACAUGAAACUAUGAGAUAGUACCCAAAGGAGAGAAACAAAGAUGGGGAAGGCUUUGAGCAGCAGCUGUAUGAGGAGAAGCUGAGGUCAGCUGGUCUGUUCAGCCCACAGAAGGGGAGACCUCAUUGCAGUCUACAACUUCCUGUGAGUGGAAGCAGAGGGGCAGCCACUGGUCUCUUUGCUGGGGUGACCAUUGACAGGAUUGAGGGAAUGGUCUCAAGUUGUGUCAAGGGAGAUUUUGUUUGGAUAUUAGAAAAAUGUUCUUCACCCAGAGGGUGUUUGGGCACUGGAACAGACUCCCCAGGUAAGUGGUCACAGCCCCAAACCUGACAGAGCUCAAGAAGGUUUUGAACAAGUUUCUCAGACACAUAGUGUGGCUCUUGGGGAUGAUGCUGUGCAGGGUUAGGAGUUGAACUUGAUGAUCCUUAAGGGUCCCUUCCAACUCAGGAUAUUCAGUGAUACUUUGUUUCUGUGAAAGUGAAUGCCAUGGCCACCUCCAUUAAUUACAACAGCAGUAUUGACACAUUUUGUAUGAUACGGAAUAUACCUUCAGAAUCACAGAAGAGGGUAUGCAAUCCAUCCCUGUGCUUGGCCCAAGAGUGACUAUUGCAGUACUUUAGGGACCCAUCAGUAGCCAUAGACUACACUACAAUGAGCAAGUGUGCUUAAAUUGGGUAAGGAUUCAAGUUGGUUUAUGUUGUUCAUGGUGUCAUACAGGAAUAGAUAGCAACUUAGAAAUCCAACUUGUUAAGUGUUCUAGCUUCCUUAGAUUAAGAGUUUUGUAAGGAAAAAUGUAAAGUUCUAAAGCACAUUUUGAAAGGCUUUUUGUACAGCAUUGGUUUAAGUUUUGGUCAAACUGGACAUUUUAUUUAAGUAAAAUGGUUGUGCUUCAGAGAUCUAAAAUAACAGUGUAUUUGAUGAAUAGGCUUCCCUGACUCUCUUACUCAUCAUGUUAAUUCUCCUGUCAAUAGUUGUUUUUAUUCCUAAGAAGAGUGAUUUCAGUUAAUAGUAUCCAUUUUGCAUUUGAUAAUACUUGUCUUUUACAGAAUAAAACAGAAAAAUGGAAGCUCAACUAACCCCAAAAAUGCAUGUUCAUCUGCAUGCUACUGAAAAGAUUAUGUAUGUAGAACUCUGUAAAGUCAGAAAUUCUGCCAUAAUCACUUAAAGGUAUUAAUAAAAGACAUUAAUAAUUAUCAAUUUAGGAGUCCAAACCAGGAAAGAAGUGAAGAACAUUACAUCUAAAACUCUCAUUUAAAAGUAAAAAUAAUUAUUUUUAAAAUGAGAUUUUAAUCUACCCUAAUUAACUUAUAUCCUUAGUAACCACUGGCCACAUAUAUACAGAAGUUCUGCAGCAGUUUUUCUCAUACCAAAUAUACACACUUCCUCAGAAAAUGGAGGAAUGACUACUGGAUGAAGUCAGAAAAAGUUUAAAAUGCAGAAAUAUUUUCAGGCUCAGAAGUAGCUUACAGCCAUGCAGUUAGUAAAUGAGAAGCUUGCAAUUUCUUUACACUGUGUGAAUUAGCAGGUGCAGAGGCAGUCAGAUGGAAUGAUAGAUUUUUUAGAAUCAGAGACAAUCUAGCAAAUAAUACUACUCAAAAUACUGUAAUCCAGUCAUAUUGUUUUAAUUGGGCAACAUGGCAUUGUGAUAACAGAUGGCAACUCCAUGUGAACAGAUUCAGCCAGACUGAUAGCAUUCUGCCCCAGCUCCUCUGAAUGAACAGCUAAGCGCUCCCAGUUUAUAUUGCAAUAGCUUCAUUCAGAUUUCACACUUGGAUAGACACUGUGCCAUUAUGAAAGCAAAUACCAUUUAAGGCUCUAUGCAUGAGUGUAUGGAGAUUUCAUGGUAGUUUCCGUUACUGAAAGUUCGAGUUGGUCGGAGCUGUAAUAGUUCAGCUGCAUUAGAGUUAAGACAUUACUGGUAUCUGUCUACCCCAGCCAAAGGUUACAGUUCCUGGAUCUAAAUUAGCAGAAAUAACAUAUCUAAAUCUUAACUACUCCAUCUAGAUGGUGCCAGAUGACAUCUGUCUUCCACAAUGGUUUAUCCAAGGACACUGAGUGUUUUCAGCGGAAGUGCUGCACAUGUUCCCCUCUACUGACUCUGUGGUAACUCCUGGCAGAAAAAUGGGAUAGACAGCUGGAGGUAGAAACAUAUUUAAUUUCAGAGGAAGGAUUUUCCAAAACUUGAUUCCCAAAACUCUAAAUAUUAAUAGCUUCCUUCUAUAGAGAUAAGAGCAGUUUCUAGUGCUGCCCCUUUGGAGCAGGAAAUAUGUUAAUGGGGCACUUUUUCAAAACAUGCAGAAGCAUCAGCUACUGUGCUCCCCAUAACACUCUUCAUAUCUAUGCACUACACAAAACAACAAAGUAUGGGAAGGAUGGAACACAAGUUAGUCGUCUUACCCACCCGCAGGGCAUUACACACCUUGGGAUACAACAGCCUCAGCCAUUUGCUUCCUUCUAUUAGUAAUGUUCCAGGGGUGGGGGAGGAGAAAGAAACCAAAUGUGAACAGGCUCUAGCCAGCUCUUGUGCUCUGUGUGCUUUCUCACUCCCUUGCAAACUCUCUCAAGAACAAUUGUAAUCCAGCUGAAGUUUUUCCUGGCUCUUGCCUAAUUUAACAGAUGUUUACUAAUGGUUCUGGAUCACUAUUUACAUGCUAAACAGUUUUCUGUUAAUCUGAAAAAUUUUAGUGAAAAAAGAUUAUGCUGGGGAGGAGGUUGGAAAAAACUUCAAGAAAACAAACAAGAGAAAUCCCUAAAAUGGAAAAAAUAUUUAAUUCUCAGGAUGUAUAUAUGAUCAGUAACAAUUUAGCUGCUUCCAGAAUGACUUUCUAAUGCCCCGGUACUUAAAAUGCUUUUGUAGUACACUUGGCAGGCAAUACUAUGAGAAGAUCAUGAUGUACAAAACCACAUUAAUUCCAAACAUCAGGCUUUAUCUAUCUCAGCUGGCCCUUAUAUGGCCUGCCACACUAUAGUAGCUAAGCUCCUCACAAUCUUUUGGGUAUUUCUCCUCAAUGCUUUAAUGACAUACAGAAGUGCUAUAUUCUGCACGUUCUGUAAGAACGGUCUCAAGGGUGGCUAUGAACAUGAUAAUCACCCUUUUCUUACGUCUUCAGAGCAAACUUGUAAAGCUAUGAAGCUUCAGACAGCUGCUGACAGCCUUGUUGACUGUAACAAACCAAGAAUUAAAGCAGUUAGGUGACACACUGUGUACUUUUAAGGUGACUAUCCGGGUGUUCCAGGAGCCACACGAAAUUUCAGACCUACUUUCCACAGCCUCUUAUCAAAAUACAGGUGACCAUACUGAAGGCUGAAGGUCCUUAUUAGUCAAUGGAGCGUAACAGACAGUUUCAGGGCAUGAAUCAUCUGCUUGAAGAACAGAUGGAUCACACUCUUCACUGCCCAUUUAUCUUUGUUUGCCAUAGAAAAUCCAGAAAAUUGUUGGGAUAGAGAACUCUACAUUUGCUUAGACAUUCCCAUGCCCUAAUCUGGUCAUAAAAACUGCUAUUUCAAGAUCCACUGCUGUUGUCAGUCACCUGAAAAAAUAAACUACAGUCAAUAGGUAUGGCUAGGUAUUUUUGAAUAUAUCUAUACCAAAAUGAUUUGUUUGAGGUCUCACACAGUACAGACACAAAGUCUGCAUCUCACAAACCUCAGGUCAAAAUGUUGUCUAUUGAUCUGUCUUACCAGUCCGGUGGAAAUGAAUAACCAUUAUAAUUGCCACAAAUUCAGAAGUUGCAUAUAGAAGGUCAUUUUGUUAAAUAAAAAAUGUCUUACUGAUUAAUUGCAGGAAGGAAGUGAAAUCAUGUAUACCUCUACCCUAUCGAGCAGUCUAAAAGGAGUUUCAAGCUAUCCUUGUCUUUCACUGUCCUAUGAAAACAACAUCCUUAAAACUUCCUUAAAGAUUGCUCUCUUGCUGAGAGGAGGCCACAUAUAGGCUAGUGGGUGCAUGAAUGUAGAUUUUACUCUGCUUCUCAUUUUGGGUGUAUUAUACUUUGCUUGAAAAAGCAAUUUAAUUCAGUUGCUAUGUGACUUCUCAGAUAUCUUCCCCAUUGAACACAGAUUUUUUUCCACUUGAAGCUCAUAAACUACUACCUCACCUCCCUUUUUAUUUGCAAAAGUGCAAGGAAGGCACACACAUGAGAAACAAAAUAAUUUUAUGAGAUUAAGAAAAAAACCCCUGGUUUUAAAACUCUUAUUUAGACACAGUUUUCACUUAAAGAAGAAAAUCCUCCAAAAGUUGUGGUCUUCAUGAAGAUCAUCAAAAUGUGAAGGGAGUAUUAGAGAUGCAGAAGUGCUUGUAUUGCUUAAAGCUUGGAACCCCAGCCCUGAGAGAUUAACUGUCCCAUUUGCUCUUACCUCAUAUAGGACAAAAAGUUUUUUGAAGGACAGCACAUUGUUAUUUCAUCACUUAUCAAAGUAACAAAAGCAAGAAUAACAACAACCACGAAAGAAAGAAAAGAAAAAGGAUGUUUUAUUAUUAUGGUGACUUGUCAGAAAUAUUCCUGGACACCAAGAGUGAGAAAGAGAUGAGAUCGAGUACAGAGAUUGCCAGAGCUGGAUCUGAGUUAGGAGAGAUCAAUGUACUGCUGAUUUAAAUGCUAUGCAACAGUCAAAAGAUAAUGUUUGAUUCCUAUUUCAUAGUCUCAAAUUCUCACUCUGCUCAUUUUCUGUUAUGUUCUAUUAGACAGAUCUUCUGCCAUUUCAGCUCAAAAGAAAAGAAAUUCAUCUGGACUUUUAGGCCCUUUGGCUUUGGCACAACCAUGAAAUGCCAGGAAGGUGAGUAGGGUAUGAGUUCAUAGGUAGCACUGUCUCUGUUACACGUAUGGCUAAAAGGACCAGACAGGGAAAAAAAACCCCAAUAACAACACAUUGCAGGGUUGGAAUAUAAUAUUAUCACCCUUUAUAGAACUCAGGUUUUCAUACUUAGUAACACCUUACAGAUUGCAGCUACCAGCCUGUAGAGAACAGUUAAAAGUUUGACUCAAACACCUGUAGGGUCUCAGGUCCCACAGGUGGAAGCCUGGCAUUAAGAACACUGGAUCCCAUGAACAUACCUUUUGCUGAACUCUUCGUAGGGGAUGCCAUUUUUUUGAAAUCAGAAAAAAGAGAUGUAUUUUACUACAUAUCACAUCCAGCUGUAUUUCUCUCACUUAUGUUUGUAGGCAAGGAUAUUAACUCUUCCUCCUUAAUUGACAGUGUAAUUAUACAAUAAAAUACAGUUAAUUUUUAAGCUUUUGUUGGUAUUGCCAUUCAGUUGGUUAAAUUUACUUCAGACUAAAAAAAAAAGCCCCCCCAAUAAAGCUUUGCUAAUUAGCAGAAAAUGAAAUAUUAAUGAAUUUUAAGCCAGAUUUAUGCCAAUGAAAGCAUAAUCAAGACAUCAUGUAUUAGACACCCAAAACCCAAAGAGAUUACAUAAAACUGAUAUUAACUUAUUUUAUGUUGUUUUAUUUUUUUUUAUUUCAGAAAAUAUUUAUAGAAGGAAUAAGUCUUAUAAUAUAAUAAAUAAAUAUAAUAGAAGGAAUAAGUCUUCUUAGAAUACGAGAAAAUAGCAGUGCAUGAAUUGUAAUUUGCACUACUUAAAAUUUAUCAUAAAUAACCAUAUACUUUUCUAAAAUAUGCAAGAAAGAACAAGUUUAGCUUCUCUGUUAAAAAAAAAAAAAAGUCAAUUAAUUUUCCAUCCUACUCUUUUGAAAGAAAAUAUUAUAGGUCUAUGGAAAAAAUGAACGGGCAUUUGGCAAAACCUGGCUUCUAGCAAACUGGCAGCAGUUAUUGCAUUACUGAAACCCAUUCAUAAAUGUUGGCUGCUUCUUCCCUGGAAGAAUGCCAGGGAAGUACCCACCCUGGCGUCUCCCUUCCCAGAUACAUCAAUCCCCACUCUUAGGUCUUGCUGACAUACAUCAAAAUUCAUUCUAAAGUAGGCCUUUUGUGCCACCCCAACUAACUCUAAAACAGGGCAAGUAAGGACCACACCAACCCAUCUAGGCUGUAUUGGUGGCUUCAGGUAUCAGGCAGGUAUAUUUAAUUCUUUAUUUAUGUUUGCAGCAUGUAUUAAAAAGGUGCAAGACAGUAAAAAAUAGCAUAUGUCAAAUGCCUAUCAUCUGAAGAGCUCAGUAUUUCUUUAUAAUCAGGAGGAACAGCUUCUAUUCCUUAACUAGUUAAUUUUCUUCAAUGCAUUCAUGUUAUUCCAAUGAUGUGCUUAUGUAAAUUACAGAAAAUUUAAAUAUUUAGUAAAGACAGCCAAUAAUGUGAAUUUCCAUAAAUAUAAUUCUAAUCCUUUUUAGUACUCUAAUGCAUCAGUAAACACGGACAGCUGUUGAUAACAUAUAGACCUAUUCCACCCACACUCUGAGCAAGUCAGAUGUUGAGCGGCUCCCAUUUGGGAGUUCAAGCUAAUAGGCACAAUGCCUAAGUUAACAGACUUUGCUUCUCCCUCUGGCAUGUAUGCUCUCCUCACCACCACAUCCUGAUGUAUUUUGCCCACUCUCCUCAGGUGUCUAUCCAGAACAAGAAGGAGACUGUGUGGCCUAAGAAAUUAAUGAAUUAAUGCACCCUUACCAAGGAUUCUUUCUGUUGGACAGAAUGAUCUCUGUCAUAGUUGUUAUUAUUACUGUUGUUGUUAAUUUUGCAGUGAGAUUUGCUAAUCCCAAUAAGAAUCAUGGCUGUGGCACAGGCAGGCUUUAUGUUACAGACACGAAGCCAUGUAGCCUAGAAUUCUUAGGGUGCAUUGACAUCUCGUGGACAAAAAGAAUAUAACACAUCAGCUCCUACUGGCAGGAUAUUAUUAUGGCCAUUUAAACACUGUAUUUGAGAACGUAUAUAAGCUCAAGAAGCCUGUCUUGCUACUGAGAAGGCUGAGUAGUAUGCACAUCUUCUGAAGGAACACUUCUCUGUAUUUAUCUGUCUGGUUUGUUUAGGUACUUUUGCAGGCUGCAAAAGUAUAUGAUUUCUGUGCUGCUGCAGCAUUUUUACCCACUUAUACAAGAUUAUUCCAGAAGCAGUAGCAGUAUAUAGGUCCAAUAUAUAGCAUAAAGUGCGCAGGAACCCAAGAAAAUGCAGUUGUGGCAUCUUCAUGGUGAAACAACCAGAUGAGGCAAAGACCUCAGUUCAACCCUUGUGGAAGGGCAGACUACUGUUGUUCUUUACAAAUAAGUCAUUUUACUUACAGAAAUUAGUUUGUUACUCCAUAUUAUUAUUUAUUUCAUCUGAUGCAUCAAUUCCUCUCCUCUCUGUGGAGGAUAUCUCCAGAAAAUAAAAGAGAACAAUACAAAGCAGAUUCCAGUGGCUCCACAUUGGCUGCAUUUUCAGGUCUUAAUUUUAAAUAAUAAUUUUUAAAUGUCUUCUUUGCACCAGAAUGACUUAUCUUAUCUCAGGAUUAGUAAGGCAACUUUCAGUUACUGUAUGGAGAUAGUGGAGUCUCUGAAUCUUCUGCCAUGACAAAACCUAGAGCAAGAAUUUUAAAAAUUUUUAUUUUUUCCAGAUGACUGGUUGACAAGAUUUGGCCUGGGAGAGACUGUUACACAGUGAUGGCUCUUUAUUUUUGUUUCCCAUUAAAAAUCUUUAGAUUUAAAAUACCUAAAACUAAGUUUAGUGUUUUCUUAAUAAAACCUGUCCAUAGGAUUAAUUGCUAGAGUUGUGAUAAACAAUUGGUAGGAAAAGCAGAUUGCAGCCUCACCAGAGAACAAUUGUAAGAACAAUUUUAUCAUAACAUGCACUGAAUUGUUUGUAUGAAAACCAAGAGGAAAACAUAGGUCUUGCAUACUGCUCUCAUUAGCAAAAAAAAACCAAAACAAACAAAAAAAUAAAUUAUCUCAAAGCAUUUUGAUCCACAGCAUUUCAUCAAGAUUAUUACUGAGACCACUGUUGCGCUACAGAUGUCGAGACUAAACAUGGAGAGAUGAUGAUUUGUCUAGAAUAAUCCAGAAUAUUUGUGUCAAAGAGAAAUAGCAUCCUCAGUACCUCAUGCCUUCUAAGUACUCUUUUAUAUUUGUGGAUGCCCUUUCAAUCCCAUGUCUUGCAUGAGAAGCAUAAAUUCCUUCUUUUGGCCUCCACACGAUACUUUGCAACCAUUGCAACUGUGCUUUACAUUUUUGCAGCGUAUCUCACUGUUAGUCAUUUCUCACAGGCCAAGCACAGAAACCAGUCAGGUCUGUUAUUCUGGGUAGAAGACUGGUGUUGCAGCUGGGGAACAUGAUAAAUGCUGCUGGCUAGCAUCUUCAUCAAGUUUUUUGUCUUAUAUAAUCUGAAAGCCCAGAGCCAUAUUUAUCCAAGAGUUUAGCAUCCUUAUAACCCUGCCCUCUGUCCUGUGGUCUGGUGCUGUUGCACCAUAUGGUGAAGAUGUCCUCAUCACAAUAGAAAUAUAUUCAGUUGUGUUCAGAAGUGUUUCUGUUUUUGUGAACUUUACAUGCGUUUUGCUGAGUCACCAUUCUGGUUCUGUUUUCAUUGAGUUACUAAGUUCAGUCAGACACUGGAAGGGAAGUUUCAAACAUUUGCUCAGUCAUGUAAACUACGUAGUAUUCCUGCAAAGCGAAAUUUCAGAAUUUACAACUCUGUAGUAAAAAACCUGGGGGGGGGAAAGGAAACUAGCCCCCAAAUAAACUAGCUUUUAAGGGUUCAAAAUGCAAAUCAUCUUUCUUGGUCACUGCUAGUUAACAUCACAUUUUCUAUAUGACUGAACCCAAAAUAUUUACUAGAAGAGGCUGCAGUUAAUAUUAUACCAAAAAUUAGAUUAUAUUAGGAUAAGAUUUAUUACAAAGGUAUUACAUUUAUUACUAACAUUAUUAAGCCUAAUUAAUCUAGGUGUAAUACUAAACUGAUAAAUUACUUUUAGGAUCUGAAAUUAUAUAGUUUAAUGGUGCUAGAGCAUAAAAGCAUGACACUGACGUGAUUUCUGUUGUGGGGAACAAGUAUGUUUUAGAUAUUAUAGUAACUAGUAACUCUCUGAGUAAUUCCGACCAAAAAUCAGCCUACUAUAAUUCAGAAUUUACUCUUGGAAUGUGGCACCCCCUCAAUCACCAGCAUGUCUUUGAUUUUUAUGUUUGUUUGUUUGUUUGUAAAGGUUUUAAGUGUUUUACAAUUUGGAUUUGAAGUUUUUGCUAAGAGAAUUGUAAAACACCUGUAAUGUUGAUUUGCAAAUGUGUGGGGAGAAUCAAAUCAGUUAUUUAAAGUAUUUUUUAAAAUUUGAACAAAUUAACUUAAAACAUCUUUAAUUAUAUUUUGCAUCUUUCACUGUCCAAUUUAUUUUUAUUUUUAUUUUUAAACUUUUGGUGGAAAAUUAAGAGCUGGCAAUAUCAGCAUUUUCCAUGGUGUACAGAAGCUGUCCUGGGAUAAUAGCAAAUGUAGAACAAGUCCUCUGGGGUAAGGAUGGUACAACAGGGCAGUUGGUCACUCUAAAAACAUUGCCUGAUGUUCAUAUCUUGUGGGUCUGGGUGCACACUCUCCAUGACAGUGACUUCCCCCAAAGCUGUUGAUGCUUGGUAAGUAGUUUAGCUUUCUAAAGAAACAGGGCUGAUGUGACAACACGCUGCAUCCUUCUGCAAAGUUUUCUUCUUCCAGCAACUUUGUAAAGACAUAAUGGCACAAAGUCAUGCAUCUGAAUAUAGCAGUAAAGAGAUCUAAACCAGUGCAUCCCCUGAGAGACAGGCAGGCAGAAUCCAGCCCAUUGUAGAGACUAUUGACAGCUAAACAAAGAACACUUACAGGGAGCUUAAAAAACAUUAAUGGAUGUGGCCAGUAGAAUUUCUCAGAAGGAGAUCAGUAGGGAAUGGGAUAAACAAAUACCAUGGGAAGUGGAAGGAGCUGAGAAGGGGGCAGGCUGCAUAUGAGUAGCACAGACUGUGAAGGAAGCAAGGCUUGUUUUGUUUCCCUGAUUGAAUAACUGACUGGUUUGCUUCCAGUCCAUAUAGAUUAUGAGAAGUUUUGUGGCCUGUGUUACUGCUGAGAUCAGAGGUGAUGGUGGCUUUCUCUGCUGCUAAAAGCUCAUGAAUUGUGGCUGUUUGGUCUUUUGCAGUUGCAUAGAAAACGUGAUUUUUGUUUGUUAAACAAAAACAUAAUAUGUUUGUAAAAACAUAAUCUGUAGAAAACAUAAUAUGUUUGUUAAACAUAUAAUCAUAGAAAGCAUGAUUUUUGAUUGGACUAGUCUUUGUUUAUACUUCUAUAAUAGUGAAAGGUGUUAUGUCAGAGCAAGUGUUUUAGGGUAAUUUGUUUUUUGCUUGCUCUAGAAGGCCUCACUAGUGUACCUCAGCAACGGUGUUCUUUGCAAAGCAAAGGCAAUGCUAACACCAUGAUGUUAGCCUUACUAGAACUGACAGGCAUGCCAGUUAGCACCAUAUGGGAUUUUGUGAGGAAGGCAGCUGUUAUCACUGGGAAGUGUAUUGAGAUUACUAAACUCUCCUCCAAACAACCAUCAGUGAGUAAAGACUAUUGGCAGACAAAUUUGCAUGGACAACUGGGUUUUUAUUGGAUACAGCAAGACAGACAUAAUGAUAAGGAAUAAUUCAUCCUUAACUUCUCACUUUCAAAUUUCCAGCCUUUUGUCUCAUAACCAAUCACGCUAAUUA